AUUGAACGCUGGCGGCAGGCCUAACACAUGCAAGUCGAGCGGAUGAGUGGAGCUUGCUCCAUGAUUCAGUGGCGGACGGGUGAGUAAUGCCUAGGAAUCUGCCUGGUAGUGGGGGACAACGUUUCGAAAGGAACGCUAAUACCGCAUACGUCCUACGGGGGAAAGUGGGGGAUCUUCGGACCUCACGCUAUCAGAUGAGCCUAGGUCGGAUUAGCUAGUUGGUGAGGUAAAGGCUCACCAAGGCGACGAUCCGUAACUGGUCUGAGAGGAUGAUCAGUCACACUGGAACUGAGACGCGGUCCAGAGUCCUACGGGAGGCAGCAGUGGGGAAUAUUGGACAAUGGGCGAAAGCCUGAUCCAGCCAUGCCGCGUGUGUGAAGAAGGUCUUCGGAUUGUAAAGCACUUUAAGUUGGGAGGAAGGGCAGUAAGUUAAUACCUUGCUGUUUUGACGUUACCAACAGAAUAAGCACCGGCUAACUUCGUGCCAGCCGCCGCCGUAAUAC
rnacentral:rRNA from 1 species